rnacentral:rRNA from 1 species
GGAUUAGAUACCCUGGUAGUCCACGCCGUAAACGAUGUCAACUAGCUGUUGGAAAACUAUGUUUUUCAGUGGCGCAGCUAACGUAGUAAGUUGACCGCCUGGGGAGUACGGCCGCAAGGCUAAAACUCAAAUGAAUUGACGGGGACCCGCACAAGCGGUGGAGCAUGUGGUUUAAUUCGAUGCAACGCGAAAAACCUUACCUAUACUUGACAUACUUGGAAUGCUUUGUAAUGAAGCAGUGCCUUCGGGAGCCAAGAUACAGGUGCUGCAUGGCUGUCGUCAGCUCGUGUUG